rnacentral:lncRNA from 1 species
CUGGCAAAGGCUUUUGGGAUGGCAGAGGGAAGAUGGAGGAUGAACAGAAGAGCAGAAGGGGAUGGGGAGAGUCCUAGGUCCAUCUAUCCAACUUCUCUAAACCAUGAAUGCCAGAAAGAAACUCACAUCUCUACUGCGUAUGACAGCUCUGGUACGAGGGGAUUUGGCCGAGCUAAGAAGCCCACAUCUGAGAACCCAACAGUCCUGUUGCUAUCAGUGGGAAGACUCAUGCCAAAAGUCAUAUAAUUGCCUUCCACCAAGCAGGACAAGAGACAGUCACCAAGAAACCUUCUGAGAUGACCAGUGUGUCAAGGGAGGAGAAGAAGUAUCUAAUUAUGUUACUGAGAGUUAGGCACCUGAUGCUGCACAAUGAGGAGAUUCACAGCCGUAAACCCUCUGGUGUUUAAUGUUUUAGCUAGUCCUUUAUUAUAAGGCAGAGAAGGAAAAGUGGAAGUUCCAUUUUACUAAAGAGCAACAUGAUUACUGUGGUUGUCAAGGAUGGGGUGACUGGAUAAAUCACUCCAUGCAGGUUGAAAUGAUCCCAGCUGAAGAAGUAAAGAGGCUAAUGCCCUGUACUGAGUAGAAUUAAUUAACCUCCCCCCAUCCUUUCCUUUCAUUUUAAUAUUUUGUGGAGCACCUGCUAAAUGUAGUCUUAAUGUUGGAGGAUGGGAGUGUUCCAUAAAACACAGGUUGGACUGCCCAUUAAAUCGUAUACUGCAGGCAAGAGGGGAGAUAAAUUGCCUGGUUUGUGGAUCUCAGCUGGACUUAGGUAUGAGGAAAGGCCAAAGACCAGUUGACUGAACAGCCAGAGACCUGUGUUAGGGCAAGCGGGAUGUGUGAAAACUUUAUGGGCUUGCAAGCUUAACCGGGAGCUCUGGUGCCAGGAUCUCUUGGUGACUCUGGAGUCCCUAAAUUUAGGCCUUGGUUGCUGCUGCUUUAAUUCCUACCUGCUUUUAUUAUCUGUCCUUUUAAAAAGUGAAGGAUGUUUUAUUCAUAAACUGGAAGUUUUCUAUGAGGAUCAGCAGGAUUCAUUUCUGCAGCAGCUGAGGGAGAAGAGGGAGUGAUAGUUAUCAGAGCUAAUCUAGCAAAGGAAAUGCCAGCCUUGGAGAGGCACAGGACAUCCUACGAUGUGGACCAGAGAUUCUAGAAUAAGCUCUUGUUCUGAAUCACCCUCUGAAAGAAGCUAACUUUUCCCACUGACUGGGAGAGGGAGGGAUGCUGGAGGGGGUCAGUCACACUAGGGUCAGGUUAACCUUCCCUGUAUUUAGUCCUUCAGUGUUCUCCUGUAGAAAUGGCCUUUCGAGUUGUGUCAUCCUAGUAAAUGGACACUUCAUCCUAGUAAAUGGACACUAAGACCACUCUGUUUAUGGAGUCUAUCUUACAUUCUGGAACAUUUGGCUAUUUCAUUUCCUCCCAGAAAGAAAGAAACAAACGUUUACUUCUUUACUAGACCAUCAUUGCUGAUUCCACUUAGCUUCUUUACAAUUACUUGCAGCUGGAUCCAUUAAAAAAUAAAACACUCUCUCCCUUUUAUGUCA